rnacentral:misc_RNA from 1 species
UGUCGGCUAUUCCAAUAUGGCGGACUAUACCAAUCACAAAAAUAUGCGAAUUGCCAGUGGUAAAACUAUGUUGAUCAACAAGACAACCAGUAGGAUCUUGAAAAUACUACCGGCCAGAGUUACAGCUGCUUGUGUAUAAGGUAACUGGACUCAAGUCCAUGCACAGUUUUAUUUGUACAAUAGCUUGAUACAUUGCUCUUUAGUCUUACACUACACUAGAAUCACUCCAGAGUAAUAU